GUACUCGUUUAGGCAGCACAUAAUAGUAAAAUUGAAACGAUACAGAGAAGGUUAGCAUGGCCCCUGUGCAAAGAUGACAUGCAAAUUUGUGAAGUGUUCCAUAUUAAA